CACUGCCCUUUGUUUUGUAGAUCCCUCCGGGUUGCCAGGCGGACCAGAAAAUCCGUCUGCAGGGAAAGGGGAUCCAGAGGAUGAACAGCUAUAGUUAUGGAGAUCACUACGUUCACAUCAAGAUCAGAGUACCAAAGAAGUUAACCCAUAGACAGCGCUCCCUGCUCCUGAGCUAUGCAGAGGAAGAGACUGACGUGAUGGGGACUGUCAACGGAGUUACUGCUACUACCACAGGUGGGGGCAGGAGUGGUCAGCGCUCUGAGUCUGGGGCAGGACAGGACAGAACUGAGGGGCAGGAGAAGAAAGAAGAGGAGGAGGGCAUCCUUUCCAAAAUAAAGAAAAUCUUUAUCUGACAGCCACACCUCAGGUAAGAGAUCAACAGGACCGUAAUGGGAGAAGGAAAGCUACUGGCCCUCUGUCCUGCUCACUACCCUCCCUCACCUAACGCCUGGAUAGAGGGAGAGAGAAAGAGGGGAUGGGGGUUUGGAUGUAUCGAAAGGACAUCCAUUUAGACACAGAAUGGGCCACCAAGAGAGCCAAGCCCAGCCACACACUGUUCAGUCCCAAAUGACACAGGUGUUGGGUUGAGAAACUAAGAACUUGUUUUACCUGGAGGGGAUUCAAAAUGGACACCAGCAAGUACCUGCCUGCUUGGCAAGGAAUAGAGGAGAAGAUUAGAAGAGAAGAAGCGAAGACAAUUUCAGCUCUUCACAAUGAGUGUUUCAGAUGCACACAUUUCUGCACAGAUGAUCAGGGCCUGUAUUCAGAGUAGGAGUGCUGAUCUAGGAUCAAUUUCCCCUUGUCCAUUGAUUUUAAUCUAAGAGGCAAAACUGAUCCCAGAUCAGCAUUCCUACUCUGAGACGCUUUAUGAAUAUGGGCCCUGAUCUUACAAUGUCUGGCCUGGAGAAGUGUCCAACACCUCAGGAACUACAUCCAUAAGAUCUAGUGGUUGUAUAAUCUGUGCAGAAUGUGUCUAUAACACACCCAUUGGCAUCAUGUUGUGGUCUGAUACAGGCCCAUGCAUUUAGUUGUAUUGUCAUUGUGGUGUUGUAUGUGUGAGUGACAACACAGCUGUGCAAGACUUAUGUCAUGAAUAAAUUAUUGAAGCUGAAAUACAACUUCAUCAUACAUAAAAAUCCUUAAUUGUGGUAAACGUAU